rnacentral:rRNA from 1 species
UACGGAGGGUGCAAACGUUGCUCGGAAUCACUGGGCGUAAAGCGCACGUAGGCGGCCUGUUAAGUCGGGUGUGAAAGCCCUCAGCUCAACUGAGGAAGUGCGCCCGAAACUGCAGAGCUUGAGUACCGGAGAGGAUGGUGGAAUUCCCCAAGUAGAGGUGAAAUUCGUAGAUAUGGGGAGGAACACCGGUGGCGAAGGCGGCCAUCUGGACGGAUACUGACGCUGAGACGCGAAAGCGUGGGGAGCAAACAGG